GGAAGUAAAAGUCGCAACAAGGUCUCCGUUGGUGAACCAGCGGAGGGAUCAUUACCGAGUGCAAACUCAUAACCCUUUGUGAACCUAUAUCUGUUGCUUCGGCGGCUCGCUCUCGGGCGAGCCCGCCGGUAAUAUCAGUAUCUCUGUUUGAACCCGACGAUACUUCUGAGUGUUCUUAGCGAACAGUUAAAACUUUUAACAACGGAUCUCUUGGCUCUA
rnacentral:misc_RNA from 1 species